CUGUGCCACCCGUUCAGCAAAUGUCACGCCUUGAUCAGGCAUAUCCACCCACCGUUGGAUAUCCACCUCCUGCAUACGGGCAACCUGCUGGUUAUCCACCUCCUCAAGCUCAAGGCUAUCCUCCUGCUGGUUAUCCACCUCCUCAAGCUCAAGGCUAUCCUCCUGCAGGUUAUCCGCCUGCUGGCUAGCCGAAGUGACCUCCUUCCCAGUCUUGUCUGGCAUAUCCAAGAUUUAAACUCCUGCACUUCAAAUUUGGUCAUUGGGGGCGUGCAUUUUUUCAGUCAUAGGCUUAACUCUUAUUCUGCCGUGUGCUGGUCUUUGCCAUGUACAUUGUGUUUAAUUUUCUACUUUGCCAUUGUUCUCCUUCCCGGAGAACUAACUAGCAU
rnacentral:lncRNA from 1 species